AGCAACAUCAAUGGUUGCUCUCCGUGUUUGAAUAAUGUGCAACUGUGCAUAUUUUAAUUAUCUAUAUUAAUUAUAUUUCUGACUCAGCAAGUCAAAACAAGUUAUUGAAAUUAUCAUCAAGACAUCGCUAUAGUUCUAUCAGAUAGAUUGUGGUUGUUAGCCCCUAACAAUCCAGAGGUAUGAAGGUCUGGCUUCAUUGAUUCAUGUGGAAGAGCAAAGGACUGGGCUUCAGAAAAGGCUGACUUUGGUCUUGCAAAUGCCAUGGUGGUAAGAUAUAAGAACCACAGUAG
rnacentral:lncRNA from 1 species